rnacentral:rRNA from 1 species
UAGGGAAUCUUCCGCAAUGGACGCAAGUCUGACGGAGCAACGCCGCGUGAGUGAAGAAGGAUUUCGGUUCGUAAAACUCUGUUGUUAGAGAAGAACAGCGCAUCGAGUAACUGUUAUGCGUGUGACGGUAUCUAACCAGAAAGCCACGGCUUACUACGUGCCAGCAGCCGCGGUAAUACGUAGGUGGCAAGCGUUGUCCGGAUUUAUUGGGCGUAAAGCGAGCGCAGGCGGUCAAUUAAGUCUGAUGUGAAAGCCCCCGGCUCAACCGGGGAGGGUCAUUAGAAACUGGUUGACUUGAGUGCAGAAGAGGAGAGUGGAAUUCCAUGUGUAGCGGUGAAAUGCGUAGAUAUAUGGAGGAACACCAGUGGCGAAGGCGACUCUCUGGUCUGUAACUGACGCUGAGGCUCGAAAGCGUGGGUAGCAAACAGG